CUCUUCUAAAGUUUGCACUUCAGUUUGUUUUCUGUCUCUUGUUUAAUUUUUCACUCUAAGUUGUAGAUUGUAGCAAUGAUCAAGGAUUAUUUAUGGCCAAAUCCGCUUACAUAUUUUAAAUAUUUCUACAAUUUGACUAAGAAGAAACUGAAGGAUCAUGAAGAUGAGGAGGAUGUGGGAAAAGAUGAUGAUGAUGACCAAGAGCAUGACGAAAAGGGGGAAGAAUAGUGUAAAACGCAUGAUGUUGACAUUACUUGGUUUUAUUUAUUUAUUUAUUUAUUUUAAGGUUAUUGGAGUAUGUUAGUGAUCUGUAGGGUAGGGGCUAAUGAAAGACCAAGGCCAGUUGCUGGUUCUCCUCUGGCUGUAACAUAUUUAUUUGUCUUUGAAGUGAUUUCUGGUUUUAUUUA